AAGUCGUAACAAGGUUUCCGUAGGUGAACCUGCGGAAGGAUCAUUAACAAAAAUCAAACCACAAACCUGUAGAAAUAGAAACCUUUUCUUUUUGCAGUGAGCAAAAGGAGCAAAGAAAUACAUUCCUCUUUUUGCAGGAGCAAAGAGAGCAUAGAGACACGAUGUGUGAUGUGAUCAUGAAUACAGAGAAACAACAACAACAACAACUUUUAACAAUGGAUCUCUUGGCUCUU
rnacentral:misc_RNA from 1 species